rnacentral:tRNA from 1 species
AUUUAAGUAGUUUAUAUAAAAUAUAAAGUUGUGGUCUUUGGGAAGUUUUUAACCUUAAAUC